CUGCCUUGCUGAAGAUAUCCAGAAAGAAAAGCUUGGAAAUGCAGAAUGAGCUCUGCCCUGGGAGUUGUGGUCUCUGGAGAGCCCUAGCUGGAAUUCUGAGCAAAAAUCUGAGUUUUUGCUGUGGACAUCACCAACUAAGGCCUCGGUGGAACAGGCAAAGGUUAGAGAAGCAUAAGCAAAUUAAUAGACAAUGAGGAAGAAGCAGGUGCAAGAGAAAGAGGAAGGAGAGCAGACCAAUUAGCACUCAAGACCAGAACUCGAUUCAGGGUGCUGAGUUGGAGAAGAGAAGACCGUCAAUGCUGUGAUUUCUCUCCCACUGCCCACGCCCACCAUCAGGCAAACCUGGAGCAGCACUCUCAGGUCCCUGAUGCAGAGCUUCUCAAAACAAAAACAAAACCUUGGAACUUCCUGAGUGACAGCCGUAACAGGACUGUCCUUUGCUAUUUGAAACAAGCCUCUUUCAAUCGUGCCUGACUUUCUGCUAAUAAGCAACGCUGUGACUCAGGUACAUUUUUUCAUCAUCAUCAUCUUACAUAUGAGAAAAAAUCAAGGCUUGCAAAGGUUACCCAGCAAGGAAACAGAAGAACUCAAAUCUGAACCAAGGUAGCCUGAGUUCAGAGCU
rnacentral:lncRNA from 10 species